UAUCUAGUGGCGGACGGGUGAGUAACACGUGGGUAACCUGCCUUAUGGAGGGGGAUAACAGAGAGAAAUCACUGCUAAUACCGCAUAAGCACACAGUACCGCAUGGUACAGGGUGAAAAGAUUUAUCGCCAUAAGAUGGACCCGCGUCUGAUUAGCCAGUUGGCAGGGUAAAAGCCUACCAAAGCAACGAUCAGUAGCCGAUCUGAGAGGAUGACCGGCCACAUUGGGACUGAGACACGGCCCAAACUCC
rnacentral:rRNA from 1 species